GCGGGCGUGGCGAAAUUGGUAAACGCAGCAGACUUAAAAUCUGCCGGUCGCAAGGCCUUGCCGGUUCAAGCCCGGCCGUCCGCACCA
rnacentral:tRNA from 1 species